CGGACGGGUUAGUAACGCGUGGGAACGUGCCCUUCUCUACGGAAUAGCCUCGGGAAACUGAGAGUAAUACCGUAUACGCCCUUUGGGGGAAAGAUUUAUCGGAGAAGGAUCGGCCCGCGUCUGAUUAGAUAGUUGGUGGGGUAAUGGCCUACCAAGUCUACGAUCAGUAGCUGGUUUUAGAGGAUGAUCAGCAACACUGGGACUGAGACACGGCCCAGACUCCUACGGGAGGCAGCAGUGGGGAAUCUUAGACAAUGGGCGCAAGCCUGAUCUAGCCAUGCCGCGUGAGUGAUGAAGGCCUUAGGGUCGUAAAGCUCUUUCGCCAGAGAUGAUAAUGACAGUAUCUGGUAAAGAAACCCCGGCUAACUCCGUGCCAGCAGCCGCGGUAAUACGGAGGGGGUUAGCGUUGUUCGGAAUUACUGGGCGUAAAGCGCACGUAGGCGGAUCAGAAAGUUGGGGGUGAAAUCCCAGGGCUCAACCCUGGAACGGCCUCCAAAACUCCUGGUCUUGAGUUCGAGAGAGGUGAGUGGAAUUCCGAGUGUAGAGGUGAAAUUCGUAGAUAUUCGGAGGAACACCAGUGGCGAAGGCGGCUCACUGGCU
rnacentral:rRNA from 1 species